ACGGAAGGCAGCAGUGGGGAAUAUUGCACAAUGGGCGAAAGCCUGAUGCAGCGACGCCGCGUGAGUGAAGAAGUAUCUCGGUAUGUAAAGCUCUAUCAGCAGGGAAGAAAAUGACGGUACCUGACUAAGAAGCCCCGGCUAACUACGUGCCAGCAGCCGCGGUAAUACGUAGGGGGCAAGCGUUAUCCGGAUUUACUGGGUGUAAAGGGAGCGUAGACGGUUUGGCAAGUCUGAAGUGAAAUACGGGGGCUCAACUCCUGAACUGCUUUGGAAACUGUCGAACUAGAGUGCAGGAGAGGUAAGUGGAAUUCCUAGUGUAGCGGUGAAAUGCGUAGAUAUUAGGAGGAACACCAGUGGCGAAGGCGGCUUACUGGACUGUAACUGACGUUGAGGCUCGAAAGCGUGGGGAGCAAACAGGAUUAGAUACCCUGGUA
rnacentral:rRNA from 1 species